rnacentral:rRNA from 1 species
AUUAAACGCUGGCGGCAUGCCUUACACAUGCAAGUCGAACGGUAGCGCGGGGCAACCUGGCGACGAGUGGCGAACGGGUGAGUAAAGCAUCGGAACGUGCCCUGGAAUGGGGGAUAACGUAGCGAAAGUUACGCUAAUACCGCAUAUUCUGUGAGCAGGAAAGCAGGGGAUCGCAAGACCUUGCGUUCUGGGAGCGGCCGAUGUCGGAUUAGCUAGUUGGUGGGGUAAAGGCCUACCAAGGCGACGAUCCGUAGCGGGUCUGAGAGGAUGAUCCGCCACACUGGGACUGAGACACGGCCCAGACUCCUACGGGAGGCAGCAGUGGGGAAUUUUGGACAAUGGGCGAAAGCCUGAUCCAGCCAUGCCGCGUGAGUGAAGAAGGCC